rnacentral:rRNA from 1 species
CCUACGGGCGGCAGCAGUGAGGAAUAUUGGUCAAUGGACGAGAGUCUGAACCAGCCAAGUAGCGUGAAGGAUGACUGCCCUAUGAGUUGUAAACUGCUUUUAUAUGGGGAUAAAACUGGAUAUGCAUAUUCUCUUGUAUGUACCAUAUGAAUAAGGAUCGGCUAACUCCGUGCCAGCAGCCGCGGUAAUACGGAGGAUCCGAGCGUUAUCCGGAUUUAUUGGGUUUAAAGGGUGCGUAGGUGGAUUGUUAAGUUAGAGGUGAAAGGUUGGGGCUUAACCGUGAAACUGCAGUUAAUACUGGUGGUCUUGAGAACAGUAGAGGUGGGCGGAAUGCGUGGUGUAGCGGUGAAAUGCUUAGAUAUCACAAAGAACACCGAUUGCGAAGGCAGCUUACUGAACUGCAUCUGACACUGAUGCUCGAAAGCGUGGGUAGCAAACAGGAUUAGAUACCCCAGUAGUC